AUAUCAAUAAGCGGAGGAAAAGAAACCAACAGGGAUUGCCUCAGUAACGGCGAGUGAAGCGGCAACAGCUCAAAUUUGAAAUCUGGCCCCAGGCCCGAGUUGUAAUUUGCAGAGGAUGCUUCGGGUGCGGCACCGUCCAAGUCCCCUGGAACGGGGCGCCACAGAGGGUGAGAGCCCCGUCGGGUCGGCCGCCAAGCCUAUGUGAAGCUCCUUCGACGAGUCGAGUAGUUUGGGAAUGCUGCUCUAAAUGGGAGGUAGACCCCUUCUAAAGCUAAAUAUUGGCCAGAGACCGAUAGCGCACAAGUAGAGUGAUCGAAAGAUGAAAAGCACUUUGAAAAGAGGGUUAAACAGUACGUGAAAUUGUUGAAAGGGAAGCGCUUGUGACCAGACGUGCGCCGGGUGUUCAGCGGGCGUUCUCGCCCGUCUAUUCGCCCUGGCGCAGGCCAGCGUCGGUUCGGGUGGGUGGACAAAGGUACCAGGAACGUGGCUCCCUCGGGAGUGUUAUAGCCUGGUGCGUCAUGCCCCCGUCCGGACCGAGGUUCGCGCUCUGCAAGGACGCUGGCGUAAUGGUCCCCAGCGGCCCGUCUUGAAACACGGACCAAGGAGUCGAGGUUUUGUGCGAGUGUCUGGGUGUCAAACCCGCACGCGUAAUGAAAGUGAACGCAGGUGGGAGCUUCGGCGCACCACCGACCGAUCCUGAAGUUUUCGGAUGGAUUUGAGUAAGAGCAUAGGGCCUCGGACCCGAAAGAUGGUGAACUAUACUUGGAUAGGGUGAAGCCAGAGGAAACUCUGGUGGAGGCUCGCAGCGGUUCUGACGUGCAAAUCGAUCGUCAAAUCUGAGUAUGGGGGCGAAAGACUAAUCGAACCAUCUAGUAGCUGGUUACCGCCGAAGUUUCCCUCAGGAUAGCAGUGUUGGUCUCAGUUUUAUGAGGUAAAGCGAAUGAUUAGGGACUCGGGGGCGCUUUUUUGCCUUCAUCCAUUCUCAAACUUUAAAUAUGUAAGAAGCCCUUGUUGCUUAGUUGAACGUGGGCCUUCGAAUGCAGCAACACUAGUGGGCCAUUUU
rnacentral:rRNA from 1 species